CUUGACGACCAUAGAGCAUUGGAACCACCUGAUCCCAUCCCGAACUCAGCAGUGAAACGAUGCAUCGCCGAUGGUAGUGNCCUUAGUGCAGCCUGUAUCUCAAGUUGUCGCGC
rnacentral:rRNA from 1 species